rnacentral:rRNA from 1 species
UACGUAGGGUCCGAGCGUUGUCCGGAAUACUGGGCGUAAAGAGCUCGUAGGUGGUUUGUCGCGUUGUCCGUGAAAACUCACAGCUUAACUGUGGGCGUGCGGGCGAUACGGGCAGACUGGAGUACUGCAGGGGAGACUGGAAUUCCUGGUGUAGCGGUGGAAUGCGCAGAUAUCAGGAGGAACACCGGUGGCGAAGGCGGGGUCUCUGGGCAGUGACUGACGCUGGAGACGCGAAAGCGUGGGGAGCAAACAGG